UAGAAGUGAUGCUGCAAAAGUUUUUGCCACCCAAAGCCUCUACUUGGACAAGAGUUGUACAAGAGCUUUGCAAGCCUAAGAAGGUCAGAGCAGCCAUUGACAAAUGUUGGAGCAGCCUAUAUUGCUAAUUUUUAAGUCUCUUACAGAUAGCACUCUUGCAAAUAGGGAUGUGCGGACAUCUGUUUCAUGAAAAUGUGCAAACCUUCAACAGACUCCCUCCCAUUCAUUCGCAGCAUAUGUCAAAUCUGCAAUGAGCAAAGUUGGUGCAGGUUGAUCUGGGACAAGUAAACAAUAAGCU